UUCCAAAGAAAUAACAUUUUUAAACCAGU
rnacentral:piRNA from 1 species